AGCAGCCGCGGUAAUUCCAGCUCCAAUAGCGUAUAUUAAAGUUGUUGCAGUUAAAAAGCUCGUAGUUGAAUUUCGGGAUCAAUAUGUCGGUCGUGCCUUCGGUACGUACUGGUAUCAUUGGUCUCUCCUUUCUGACGAACCAUGAUGUCAUUAAUUUGGUGUUAUGGGGAGUUAGGACUGUUACUUUGAAAAAUUGAGUGUUUAAAGCAGGCUUUAGCUUGAAUACAUUAGCAUGGAAUAAUGAAAUAGGACGUUCGAACCUAUUUUGUUGGUUUCUAGGAUCAACGUAAUGAUUAAUAGGGAUAGUUGGGGGCAUUAGUAUUCAAUUGUCAGAGGUGAAAUUCUUGGAUUUAUUGAAGACUAACUACUGCGAAAGCAUUUGCCAAGGAUGUUUUCAUUAAUCAAGAACGAAAGUUAGGGGAUCGAAGACGAUCAGAUACCGUCGUAGUCUUAACCAUAAACUAUGCCGACUAGGGAUCGGAUGAUGUUAAUUUUUAAUGACUCAUUCGGCGCCUUACGG
rnacentral:misc_RNA from 1 species